UACGUAGGGUGCGAGCGUUAAUCGGAAUUACUGGGCGUAAAGCGUGCGCAGGCGGCGGCUCAAGUCAGGUGUGAAAUCCCCGGGCUUAACCUGGGAAUUGCGCUUGAAACUAGGCUGCUUGAGUGUGGCAGAGGGGGGUGGAAUUCCAGGUGUAGCGGUGAAAUGCGUAGAGAUCUGGAGGAACACCGAUGGCGAAGGCAGCCUCCUGGGCCAACACUGACGCUCAUGCACGAAAGCGUGGGGAGCAAACAGG
rnacentral:rRNA from 1 species